ACGCGGGCCAGGCCGUGUGGGGGAACCGAGGCCAACGAUGGCGGGGGAGGAAGGCAGGCUGGAGGGACGGGGGAGCCUGGCGCCUUCUCCUUCCCGCUCCGCUUCUCCUUGCCACUGGAGAAGAGUGCAUGGGAAUGACCCCAGGUUAACGACUUCGCUUAAGGAAUGAAAUGACUAACGCUGUACUGCAGCUGAGAAUCUCCCGUAGCGGCUUUGUUUAAUGAACAAAAUGACUAACGCUACUUCAGCCAAGAAUUUCUCACGUAAUCCGGAUUUCAGAUUAGAAGAGCUUUAGCAGAGGAAGCUGAGACUUGGCCUGAGUGAUUCCUGAAAGGAUGUCUGAAAGCAUAUUGGAAAUCUGUGUCACAGUCUGUCUCUUUGGCUGACCUUCAGGAAGACUCCAUUAAUAUGUUCUGCAUACACCAUAUGAGGAAGAAAGCAAAAGACCUGCUGCUUGCCAGGAUCCCUUUGCAGAGGGGCCCAAAAGAGACAGUAUGGUUGGAAUUUUCUCAUGCUGAGCUUGUCCACACAGUCAGAGAAGGAGCCUGGGCGAGUUCAUUGAAACCAUGAAGGCUGGUAAUGUAAAGUAUGCAAAAAUGACAGUCUCAAAAGCUGUAAUUUUUUUUCAUAGAAAUAUAUUGUUGAAAGAAUUCCUAUUUCAUUCUUAUGGCAAUGGAGGUGCAGCUAUAUAAAGCUGGAAUGUCUGAAUAGUUUUCUUCUGCUCCUGUUUUCUUUUGGACUAACAAACAAGUGAAUAAGUAGCAGAGAGAAUCAAUGACUGGCAGGCGAGCAGUUAACACUGUAAACAAACAUGGUAAUACUUCAUCUCUCUUUGUGGCCAUAAUCAAUAAAGGGUCAAUAAACUGGGCAUGCAAAAGCUGUUAUUGUGCUUUUCCUGUAUGUCUUUUUCUGUAGCAACUCUACCAAAGAAUUAAGGAAGACAAGCAAUGAGCUUAUAAGUCAAGGCUCUCCAGCAAUCUGAAAACUUAUGACAGUCCUGAAAGAAGAUGACACAAGAGAGAUUUUAAAUGAAUAAAAAAAUGAUGUGAAAUGUUUUACCACCAUAUUAAUCUGAUUUAAUUCUGUUAUCCUAUAUCCUCCAUAAAAGCAAUUUGCCCACAGUUCAGUAUGAUGUUACUGGUGCAGAACAUGGGCAGAUUACCUUCAGCAAUGGAUGUCUUUCUCCCCAUCCCCCAUUGCAUUCUAUGGGAAAACUGACAAUAGGUAACAUGCUGAUGGGAAGCUCUUGCAGGGGGUACUGAGGGGUGAAUAAUGAAAAGUUUCUGCAGGAGGCACCUUCCAAUAAUGAAAUCCGUAGAGCAGAAAUCCUUUUAGUGAUGAGAAGAAACUUCAAAGAUACUUCCCCUUAAAGAGUGUGAAUCAUUUCACAGAAUCUGAUUCAUAGAUCCAGAUAAUGCUUGCUAUCAGUACUGAAGAUGACCAAAAAAACCUUAUACACACCUGAUGUUGCCUGUUCUUAAG